rnacentral:rRNA from 1 species
GUGGGGAAUCUUAGACAAUGGGGGAAACCCUGAUCUAGCCAUGCCGCGUGAGCGAUGAAGGCCUUAGGGUUGUAAAGCUCUUUCAGAUGGGAAGAUAAUGACGGUACCAUCAGAAGAAGCCCCGGCUAACUCCGUGCCAGCAGCCGCGGUAAUACGGAGGGGGCUAGCGUUGUUCGGAAUUACUGGGCGUAAAGCGCACGUAGGCGGACCAGAAAGUCAGAGGUGAAAUCCCAGGGCUCAACCUUGGAACUGCCUUUGAAACUCCUGGUCUUGAGGUCGAGAGAGGUGAGUGGAAUUCCGAGUGUAGAGGUGAAAUUCGUAGAUAUUCGGAGGAACACCAGUGGCGAAGGCGGCUCACUGGCUCGAUACUGACGCUGAGGUGCGAAAGCGUGGGGAGCAAACAGGAUUAGAAACCCGAGUAGUCC